AUUGAACGCUGGCGGCAGGCCUAACACAUGCAAGUCGAGCGGUAGAGAGGUGCUUGCAUCUCUUGAGAGCGGCGGACGGGUGAGUAAUGCCUAGGAAUCUGCCUAGUGGUGGGGGAUAACGUUCGGAAACGGACGCUAAUACCGCAUACGUCCUACGGGAGAAAGCGGGGGAUCUUCGGACCUCGCGCCAUUAGAUGAGCCUAGGUCGGAUUAGCUAGUUGGUGAGGUAAUGGCUCACCAAGGCGACGAUCCGUAACUGGUCUGAGAGGAUGAUCAGUCACACUGGAACUGAGACACGGUCCAGACUCCUACGGGAGGCAGCAGUGGGGAAUAUUGGACAAUGGGCGAAAGACCUGAUCCAGCAAUGCCGCGUGAGUGAUGAA
rnacentral:rRNA from 1 species